rnacentral:rRNA from 1 species
CCUACGGGUGGCAGCAGUGGGGAAUAUUUCACAAUGGGGGAAACCCUGAUGCAGCGACGCCGCGUGAGUGAAGAAGUAAUUCGUUACGUAAAGCUCUAUCAGCAGGGAAGAAAAUGACGGUACCUGAGUAAGAAGCCGCGGCUAACUACGUUCCAGCAGCCGCGGUAAUACGUAGGGGGCAAGCGUUAUCCGGAUUUACUGGGUGGAAAGGGAGCGUCGACGGUGCGCCAAGCCUGGAGUGAAAGGCGGAAGCUUAACUGGGGAACUGCUUUGGAAACUGGCGAACGAGAGUGCGGGAGGGGUAAGCGGAAUUCCUGGUGUAGCGGUGAAAUGCGUAGAUAUUGGGAGGAACACCGGUGGCGAAGGCGGCUUACUGGACCGUAACUGACGUUGAGGCUCGAAAGCGUGGGGAGCAAACAGGAUUAGAUACCCGAGUAGUC